CCAAUAGUUCUUAAAAUUAACAUGACUAUUAAUGUUAAUAGUCUCUUGUAUAAGAGACAUUGUGCCAUAUUUUAAGCAGUAUCUAUUUUUCCCUUAAAUUUUACAUCUUUUUGAGAUAUAUACAAUGGAAGCUUCCUAACGUACACAAAGUUAGAGAGAUUAGUAUAAUUAUCCUCCGUGUACCCCUCCGCCAGGCCAACCUUAUUUCAUCUUUAACCCUGUCACAGUCCUCUUCCUACUGGGUUAUUUUGAAUCAAAACCCAAAUAGCCCAUCAUUUCACCCAUAAAUAUUUUUGAACAUUUCUCUAGAAGAUAGGAAUUCCCUCCGUGUACCCACAAUCCCAUUCGCACACCUGAGUGACUCACUAAUAGCAUCAACAUCUGAAUUGUCUCAAAACUUGGUUGGUUGCACACUAAUUAGGGGCCAAACAAUGAUACAAAUUAGGAUACAAACUCGGGCUGUACCUGAUGGUCAAUACCAUCUCCUGUGUCAGGAGUACACAUGUAGUACAAUGAGGUUUUUCCUCAUUGUACUACAUUCUUGUUGUUGCAGAAACCGGACAGUUUGUCUUGAAGAACUGGACCUUCAGGGUCUUGUGGUUACUGGCAACAUCUUUCUGAAAUGCCAGUUACAGGCCUUCAUGGGAUUGUGUUGCUGACUUCAGGAAUGUUUGGACUGGGCUGGUGUGGCCAAAACAUGACAUGUUCUGAAAGGUGAGUGCACCUUGUUAGGAAAGGGGAGUGUCCACAUCACUUAGAGUCAAUGGGGCUUGAACAGGACACAGAGAAUGAGGUCAGGGACAGAUCAAGGACAGAUGCCUGAGGAGAGUGAGGCCACAGAGUUCAGGAUCCAGAUACCAUAACCACAUCGAGCACCUCAGCGACUCCUGUGUGUGGCCAGCAGGUAUGGAGUGAGUUCAGGGCUCAAAGCCAGGCCACGCUAGUUUUAAGUCUUGAGGCUGGUGUGUAUGUGAGUGGAGUCCAAGCUUCAGGGAGAUGGGGUUUGAGGGGAACCACCACACCCAGCUUACUCCAAGGAUCAACUCUAGCAGCCUUUGGAGGACUCUGAAAAAGCUCUCAGUGGAUUCGUUUUUGGUGAAAACUGUUUGGUAGAAUUAAAGCAGGUUGGCUAGUUGGCUGCCUCUGCCCCAGAAGCCCUGUGCUAGGGAGCAAGCUGGUCUCCUUGACUCCCAGCGGUAUGAUUUUCUGGGGCAUCCGACUGGUUGAUUUGCAGUGACGUGUGUCUCCAUGUGGCCAAAGGGCCUUGCUUAGGUUUGAAUCAAAGGAUGUUAAAGCUGAAAGAAAUCUAAAAAAAUCUUCUAGUUGAGGGCUGGCAAACUGGAUUCAUUGUGAAGGUCGUCUCUGACAGUUGGUAGGGCUGCUGAGAGCACGGGGUGGGGUAAGGCCCUUGAGUCUCGCCUAGAUGAGAAAAGAACCAUGGUCUAAUUACUGGCGAAUUAGAUGCAAGAAACACGGCUUUGCCAGGAAUGGAAGGAAGUUACGCUGAGGGUGUGGGGAAAAAAGAUCAGACUGUCAUAGACGUGGCAGGAUGCAGGUGUCCCAGCAAAGUUGGUAGGAGAAGUGAACAAAUAGGCAGAGCUAGAAAAAGGAUCCAUAGCAAUGUAAAAUACCAUAGCUUUCAUCUGAGGGACCUAUUUCCUGUUAGGUCUCCACCUCCCCGCCCAUGACCCUGCUCUCAGCUGGUGAACUCUCAACACAAAAUCACCUGCUCGCUGGGGUUUGUGCUUGCCUCCUGCCUUAGUCGGUUUGAGUCGCUGAAACACAGUAGGUGGUGUAGCUUAUCAGACGUGUAUUUCUCACAGUUCUGGUGGCUGGGAAUUCCAAGAUCAAGGUGGAUUCAAUGUCUGGUGAGUGUUCUCUUGCUGGUUCAUAGACCAUCCUCUUUUCGCCGCUUCAUAGGGCGGAGGGAGCUCUUGGGGGUCUCCUAUAAGAACACUAAUCCCGUGCAUGACGGCUCGGCCCUCAUGAGCUCCCCAAAGCCCCGCUUCCUAAUGCCAUUUCGUUGGGGGUUAGGUUCCAACAAAUGACCCUCCUGACCUUAUGAUGCAGAGUGGCAGGAAGUGCCCAGGUUUUACUCCCUGGCACGGGGAAAGGGUGGAGGCGGGCCUGAGGGACAAGAGGGCAGUUCUUUGGGACAACUGGUGUAUAAUCGGUUGGACCAUCUGUGAAGUUCAAGGCCAUGCGACUCUUACUGUUUAUUGAGCUUUGCCCUUGUUUGCCAACAAUGGUACAGGGAUUCAACUUCCUCUGAUCUUCCUGAGCCCCCUCCCCCACCAUCUCCCCUGGGUUCCACCUGUGGCAUUUCCUGUUACUGAGUGUCAGUUUUUUUUUUUUAAUUUUUUUUUUUUAACGUUUAUUUAUUUUUGGGACAGAGAGAGACAGAGCAUGAACAGGGGAGGGGCAGAGAGAGGGGGAGACACAGAAUCGGAAACAGGCUCCAGGCUCCGAGCCAUCAGCCCAGAGCCUGACGCGGGGCUCGAACUCACGGAGCACGAGAUCGUGACCUGGCUGAAGUCGGACACUUAACCGACUGCGCCACCCAGGCGCCUCAGUCAGUUUGUUUUUAAAUCUCAUGCAGAUUCAGUUUCCACGACCUGCCCUGCCCCCACCACACUGGGGACCCUGAAGUUAAUUUUCAGGUAGACAAUCUGGAACUACCUUUGCAUUCAUUCAAAAAAAGAACCAGGUCGGCUUCCAGUCCUUUGUAGAACUGUCACAUUACGCCUUGUUUUCAGCCAGGUUGCUGCACUCCAAGGAUAGAAAAAUAAAUCUGGUAAUAGAAAUAGUAGUCUUUUUAAA
rnacentral:lncRNA from 1 species